GCAGACGGAAUAAGGUGCUAAUCAGCUGACUUUAACUAAAGGAGAUACCCAGGUGGACCCAAUGUGAAUAUAAGACUCCUUAAAUGGGAAAGAAGGAGGCAGAAGAAUCAGAAGCAGAGAGAGGGCAUUGUGAGGAAAAACUCAACUGGCCAUUGCUGGCUUUGCAGUUGGAAGGGGCCCAAUAGCUAGUGACUAGGUCAGCCUCUGGGACUGAAAAGGCAAGGAAAUAGAUUCCUCCCCUAGAGCCUCCAAAAGGAACACAGUCCUGCUGUCAUCUUGAUUUUAGCCCAUUGAGAUGCCUUUUCAACUUCUGACCUCCAGCACGCCAGCCUUUGGACACCCUAGAAAUAUUGAUUGAAUCUGCCCAAUUUGACUUUUAUAAUAAAUGGAACAAGCUGGAACUGAACAAUGUUGAUUACAAAAUCUUUUCAUUCUUUGUGAUGAAAGGAACAUGAGCAUCCUCUAGACGUUGGAAAUGGCAAGGAAAUUGGUCCUCUCCUAGAGCCUCCAGAAGGAAUGCAGCCAUGCGGAUACCAUGAUUUCAGCCCAGUGAGUCCCACUCCAGACUUCUCACCUAUAGAACUGCAAGAGUGGAAUGCUGUCUACAUGAAGCAAACGAAGCAGGAGCUACAAUCAACCAAACCUUUCACCCUGAUGCUAAAUAAACUGAGCUCCCCCCAGGUCAAGUCAAUAGGUGAGUAUUACAGACCGCAUGCAGCUCGGAGAGCCUAUGACGAUCAAGUGCUCCCAUCCCUGUCAACCUGUCAUAGAACAGAUUGAAUAGACUCCUCCAAAACCUACUCAUGUGGAAAAUUUGAGAGUGAAAAAAAUAUUUCUCUAGGCUUAAAAAAAAAGUAGAUUGAAAGCAAAAUGUGAAUUUGAAUCUCAUCAACUUGAUUCUCUGCCUUCAUCAGCCAUCGGAUCCAAUGAAGUCUACACCACGCCUCCCUUCUCUCUGAUUUUAGGUCAUCAGUUUACUAACAGAGGUGGAAAUUCUGCAAGGCUCGGUAACUUGUA
rnacentral:lncRNA from 1 species